rnacentral:rRNA from 1 species
UAUGGAGAGUUUGAUCCUGGGUCAGGAUGAACUCUGGAGGCGUGUCUAAUACUUGCAAGUCGAGCGAACGGAAGAGCAGCUCGCUUCCCUGAUGCUAGCGGCGCACGGGAGAGUAACACGAGGAGAACGUACCUACAAGACGGGGAGAACGCCGGGAAAACGGAGCGAAUAACGCAGAAAAUCUUGAACAGCAUGGUUCAAAAGUAAAAAAAGGUCUUGAUGUCUACGUAGAGAUGGAUCCGCCCUGCAUUAGCGAGUUGGCAAGGUAACGGCUGACCAAGGCACCGACGCAUCGCCGUCCGGAGAGGGUGACGGGACACACUGCAACUGACCCCGGGUCCACACGCAUACGGCAGGCCGCCGCAGGGAUCGUUGCGCAAUGGGGGA